ACUUAAUUAGCUUAUAAUUAGAGCAUAAUAUUGAAGAUAUUAGGGAAAUUGUUUUUAUUAUUAAGUA
rnacentral:tRNA from 1 species